rnacentral:rRNA from 1 species
GACAGAGGCCCCAAGCGUUAGGCGGAAUCACUGGGCUUAAAGCGUGUGUAGGCGGAUCGUUAAGUGUCUUGUGAAAUCCCACGGCUCACCCGUGGAACUGCUGGGCAUACUGGCGAUCUUGGGCCAACUAGGGGCAGCCGGAACAAGCGGUGGAGCGGUGAAAUGCGUAGAUAUCGCUUGGAACGCCGAAGGUGAAAACAGGCUGCUGGGGUUGCGCCGACGCUGAGACACGAAAGCCAGGGGAGCGAACGGG